rnacentral:rRNA from 1 species
AUUCCUACGGGGGGCAGCAGUAGGGAAUUUUCGUCAAUGGGCGCAAGCCUGAACGAGCGAUGCCGCGUGAGUGAAGAAGGCCUUCGGGUCGUAAAGCCCUGUUGCGGGGGAAAAAAGGCAGCAUCAGGAAAUGGGUGCUGACUGAUGGUGCCCAGCCAGAAAGUCACGGCUAACUACGUGCCAGCAGCCGCGGUAAUACGUAGGGGGCAAGCGUUAUCCGGAUUUACUGGGCGUAAAGGGAGCGUAGACGGCAGUGUAAGUCUGAAGUGAAAGGCAAGGGCUCAACCCUUGCACUGCAU